CCUACGGGUGGCAGCAGUCGAGAAUCAUUCACAAUGGGGGAAACCCUGAUGGUGCGACGCCGCGUGGGGGAAUGAAGGUCUUCGGAUUGUAAACCCCUGUCAUGUGGGAGCAAAUUAACAAGAUAGUACCACAAGAGGAAGAGACGGCUAACUCUGUGCCAGCAGCCGCGGUAAUACAGAGGUCUCAAGCGGUGUUCGGAUUCACUGGGCGUAAGGCGUGCGUAGGCUGUUUCGUAAGUCGUGUGUGAAAGGCGCGGGCUCAACCCGCGGACGGCACAUGAUACUGCGAGACUAGAGUAAUGGAGGGGGAACCGGAAUUCUCGGUGUAGCAGUGAAAUGCGUAGAUAUCGGGAGGAACACUCGUGGCGAAGGCGGGUUCCUGGACAUUAACUGACGCUGAGGCACGAAGGCCAGGGGAGCGAAAGGGAUUAGAUACCCCAGUAGUC
rnacentral:rRNA from 1 species